rnacentral:rRNA from 1 species
GCGUAACACGUAGGUGACUUGCCCAGAAGAGGGGGAUAACCAUUGGAAACGAUGGCUAAUACCGGAUGAGCGACUUUUGAUUAGAUAGAGAGUCGGAAAGUGUUUAGCGCUUCUGGAGAGGCCUGCGGCCUAUCAGGUAGUUGGUGGGGUAAAAGCCUACCAAGCCAAUGACGGGUAGCUGACCUGAGAGGGUGGUCAGCCUCAGGGGAACUGAGAAACGGUCCCCACUCCUACGGGAGGCAGCAGUGAGGAAUAUUGCGCAAUGAGCGGAAGCUUGAUGCAGCGAUGCCGCGUGCGGGAUGAAGGCCUUCGGGGUGUAAACUGCUUUUAAGAGGGAGCAGCAAGGAGCGUACCUCUUGAAUAAGUCGCGGCUAACUACGUGCCAUCAGCCGCGGUAAUACGUAGGUGGCGAACGUUAUCCGGAAUUACUGGGCGUAAAGGGUCGCCACGCGGUGGCCAAAGUCUGACGUGAAAGCUCCCGGCUCACCUGGGAGAAGCCGUUGGAAACUAGGUCGCUUGAAUCCCGCAGAGGUCGGUGGAAUUCCCGGUGUAGUGGUGGAAUGCGUAGAGAUCGGGAGGAACCCCAUAAGCGAAGGCUGCCGGCUGGGCGAGGAUUGACGCUGAGUGACGAUAGCGUGGGGAGCAAACAGGAUUAGAUACGCUGGUAGUCCGCGCCCUAUACGAUGUGUGCGCGGUGUGUGAUUGUAACCGAUUGCGCGCCCGAGCUAACGCGAUAGGCACACCGCCUGGGGAGUACGGUCGCAAGGCUAUCACUCAAAGGAAUUGACGGUGUGCCGCACAAGCAGCGGAGCGUGUGGUUUAAUUCGAUGCAACGCGAAGAACCUUACCUGCGUUUGACAUAAGGGACGUAGCAAGGUGAAAGCCGAGUGACCUUCGGGAACCCUUACAGCUGCUGCAUGGCUGUCGUCAGCUCGUGUCCUGAGAUGUUGGGUUAAGUCCCGCAACGAGCGCAACCCUCGUCGCUAGUUUCAUGUGUCUAGCGAGGCUGCCCACUUAGUGGGAGUAAGGAGAGGACGUCGUCAAGUCAGCAUGGCCUUUAUACCUAGGGCGACUCACACGCUACAAUGGCGCGUACAAUGGGAGGCCACACCGCGAGGUGGAGCAAAUCUAUAAAGCGCGUCUCAGUUCGGAUUGGAGUCUGCAACUCGACUCCAUGAAGGUGGAGUUGCUAGUAUCCGCGCGUCACCCAUAGUGCGGUGAAUGCGUUCCCGGGCCUUGUACACCCC